GGCGGCUGUGGGACUUCCUGCACAGCGCGUCUUGCAGCGGACUGGAGCCCGCUUAGUCAGCGCCACAUCCGGCCCGCUUAGUUUUCUGCUUGUGUCUCCUCUGCCGGUUCUCCUGGGGUGUUGCUUAAGCAACCGACUUGUGGGGGUGGGGUGGGUUUGGGCGGGGCGAGUGCGUAGCGCUGGUGUUUUCUUUUCUGGCGCGCGGUGGUGGUGGUUCUUGCGGUUAGGCUGUGGUGUAGGUUGGUGCUUGGGUUAGGUCCGGCGGUGUUUUUGUGCAACCCCUCCCGGGGGGCGGGGGGGCCAGCCUCCUGCUCUGUCUGCCGGGUCGGGGUGGGGUGCGGUGGGAUGGAUGGGGGUGGUUGGUGGCGGUUUUCGAGGUGUUUGCUUUCUGUUUUCUUCUCUUUUCUUCUCUUCUUGCCCUGUCAGGGUUCUGGUCUCGGGGACCAGGCUGCUUUCAGGCAGCAGGGGGGCAGCGCGUCUGCCCCUGUUCAACCUUGUAAGGAUGAUUCCUCAAAAAAAAAAAGCCACUGACGUCCUUUCUGCGGCGGCAGGUGGAGCAAGGGGCACUGCGCACGCCCCUGUUACCCAGCGGCGAGCAGGCGCCGCCUGCUGCCCACCACGCUGACGACACGACCCUCACGGCGCGCGACCCGGCGGUGGACGGGCCGGUCCUGAUGGCGGCAGUACAGCUGUUCUGCCGCGCGUCCAACGCCCGUGUCCAUCCGGACAAGAGCAAGGCCAUGGGCCUUGGCAGGUUUGCGCACCUGACGGGCCCUUGCCCACACACGGGGGUGCCGUUUACCACUGGCGCCGUGACGCACCUGGGUGUGCCCCUGUCGUGGGACUCGGAUGCGGCUGCAGCUGACUUGUACACCCGGCGGGCUCGCGGCAUGGCGUUUGUGGCGCGUCUGUGGGCUGCCCUGUCUCUGACUCUCGUUGGCCGUGUGCACAUUGCGAAGCAGGUGCUGGCGGCGAAGCUGGCCUACCACUUCAGCUUCCUCAACCCGUCGCCUGCGCAGCUGAAGGAGCUCACCGACCUGAUGGACCACUUUGCUGCGCGCUCCAUGCACGCUGAGGACGCCAGCCUGGUGUCGCACGGGAACCCGCUCCUGCUGCCAAAGCGGGAAACGGCAUGUCUGCCGUACAAGGACGGGGGUGUCAACCACGUCGACCUGCCUGCGUUCCUGUCUGCCCUGCAAGCUAAGACUUUCGCCCUCCUUGCCCAGCCAGGCCGGCAACCCUGGAAGAUGCUCACCCGGGCGCUGCUUACCCAUGUGCGCCCAGACUCCGCCACCACGUGGGCGUGGGUGUACAGCGACGCGCCGGCGCCAGCGGGGCUGCCUGCCCGGCUGGCGGCCGCGGUCGGCCACGUGCGGAGCGCGGGUGUGGAACAGCAUCCGCCGCAGCCAGCCACUCAGCCGCCAGCGGCGCCGCCACAGUGGCGGGUUAGCCUGGACCAGCUGUGGGUGGCUAACGCUGCGGGGGCUGUGUCCUACGUCCACUACACGGGGCGGCUCUUGGAGCCUGGGCCUGGCGUGCUGCCCCCGGCAGUGGAUGGGGCGUGGCAGCCUGCCUGUGUGCUGCAGCACCGCAAGCCGCGGCACCUGUGGACCUUUGAAGAGCGGGCGGCGUACGAUGCAGCAUCACCAGGGGAACGGGCAGGGGCGUGGCCUCGGGCGCCGUACUUCCUGGCGCCGGAGGCUGGGGUGGUGGUGCACCCGGAGCACUGCCGGAUUGCGGGUGUCAGCUUGGCGGACUACACGGUGCGGGACGUGCGGCGGGCCAUCACCGCGGCCAACCCGGCCGCCCCUCUGGCUCCGGCCCGCCCCGCAGCCAUGCCGUGCCCGGCGCCAGCACAGCAGGCGGGGGGUUCGGGGACCCAGCCGGCGGCACAGUCGCGGCUGGCGGAGCGGGAGGCGGAGUGGCAGCGUGCAGCGGCGCAGCUGACCACCACGGCGGCGCAGCACUUCCACAAUAACCCGGUGGCUCUGGACCCCUGGCUCCACCGCACCUCCGCGGCAGCCGGGCAGCAGAACACGCCGGCGAGAACACUGCAGUCGUAUGCGUCCCCGUCCCAGCAGUCGGGUGAGGGGCCGCGGCGGUCCGCGCGGNNNNNNNNNNNNNNNNNNNNNNNNNNNNNNNNNNNNNNNNNNNNNNNNNNNNNNNNNNNNNNNNNNNNNNNNNNNNNNNNNNNNNNNNNNNNNNNNNNNNUGAAAGCUCUCCAGUUGCAGGCCCAGAGCUCCAGCCUUGUACCCCAGAGACUCCCUGCACCACAGGGGGGGUCUACACACCACCAAGGUGCGGAUGGGUUUUGGUAAACCAGGGCCCUUCCUGGUGGGGUGACCGGGAUUCAAGGCCUGAUCGAAUGGAUGCGCCUGGACGUGGGCGCGGACGGCACGCCACGGCAGGGUGGUGCGCUGUACUUCUUGGACAUUGAAAAGGCGUAUGACCGGGUGCACCGGCAGUGGCUGUAUGCGUCCGCGGAGGGACUUGGGUUUGGGCCGCGCAUGCUGCGAUGGAUCCGCCUGCUCACUGCCAACGGCUCUGCCCGCGUGUGUGUGAACGGGAUGCUCUCUGACGCCUUCCCAGUGCUGAACGGCUUGCCGCAGGGCAGCACCGCCUCACCACCCCUGUGGGUCAUCCAGAUGCAGCCACUGACGUCCUUUCUGCGGCGGCAGGUGGAGCAAGGGGCACUGCGCACGCCCCUGUUACCCAGCGGCGAGCAGGCGCCACCGGCUGCCCACCACGCUGACGACACGACCCUCACGGCGCGCGACCCGGCGGUGGACGGGCCGGUCCUGAUGGCGGCAGUACAGCUGUUCCAGGCUGCCUUGGCAGUAGGGUGGUAGUGCGUCUACCACCGCAACCUUGUAAGGAUGACUUUUAAAAAAAAAAAGCUGUUCUGCCGCGCGUUCAACGCCCGUGUCCAUCCGGACAAGAGCAAGGCCAUGGGCCUUGGCAGGUUUGCGCACCUGACGGGCCCUUGCCCACACACGGGGGUGCCGUUUACCACUGGCGCCGUGACGCACCUGGGUGUGCCCCUGUCGUGGGACUCGGAUGCGGCUGCAGCUGACUUGUACACCCGGCGGGCUCGCGGCAUGGCGUUUGUGGCGCGUCUGUGGGCUGCCCUGUCUCUGACUCUCGUUGGCCGUGUGCACAUUGCGAAGCAGGUGCUGGCGGCGAAGCUGGCCUACCACUUCAGCUUCCUCAACCCGUCGCCUGCGCAGCUGAAGGAGCUCACCGACCUGAUGGACCACUUUGCUGCGCGCUCCAUGCACGCUGAGGACGCCAGCCUGGUGUCGCACGGGAACCCGCUCCUGCUGCCAAAGCGGGAAACGGCAUGUCUGCCGUACAAGGACGGGGGUGUCAACCACGUCGACCUGCCUGCGUUCCUGUCUGCCCUGCAAGCUAAGACUUUCGCCCUCCUUGCCCAGCCAGGCCGGCAACCCUGGAAGAUGCUCACCCGGGCGCUGCUUACCCAUGUGCGCCCAGACUCCGCCACCACGUGGGCGUGGGUGUACAGCGACGCGCCGGCGCCAGCGGGGCUGCCUGCCCGGCUGGCGGCCGCGGUCGGCCACGUGCGGAGCGCGGGUGUGGAACAGCAUCCGCCGCAGCCAGCCACUCAGCCGCCAGCGGCGCCGCCACAGUGGCGGGUUAGCCUGGACCAGCUGUGGGUGGCUAACGCUGCGGGGGCUGUGUCCUACGUCCACUACACGGGGCGGCUCUUGGAGCCUGGGCCUGGCGUGCUGCCCCCGGCGGUGGAUGGGGCGUGGCAGCCUGCCUGUGUGCUGCAGCAUCGCAAGCCGCGGCACCUGUGGACCUUUGAAGAGCGGGCAGCGUACGAUGCAGCAUCACCAGGGGAACGGGCGGGGGCGUGGCCUCGGGCGCCGUACUUCCUGGCACCGGUGGCUGGGGUGGUGGUGCACCCGGAGCACUGCCGGAUUGCGGGUGUCAGCUUGGCGGACUACACGGUGCGGGACGUGCGGCGGGCCAUCACCGCGGCUAACCCGGCCGCACCACCGGCGCCGGCCCGCCCUGCAGCCAUGCCGUGCCCAGCGCCAGCACAGCAGGCGGGGGGUUCGGGGACCCAGCCGGCGGCACAGUCGCGGCUGGUGGAGCGGGAGGCGGAGUGGCAGCGUGCAGCGGCGCAGCUGACCACCACGGCGGCGCAGCAUUUCCGCAAUAACCCGGUGGCUCUGGACCCCUGGCUCCACCGCACCUCUGCGGCAGCCGGGCUGCAGAACUGCAGUCGUAUGCGUCCCCGUCCCAGCAGUCAGGUGAGGGGCCGCGGCGGUCCGCGCGGCUGCAGGAGCAGGCGGCGGGCAGGGCGGGGCCUAGCACGGGGCCUGCCACGGCGGCGGCGGCAGCAGCGGCGGCAGUGGAGGGCGACCCUCGCAUGCCGCCCCCGGAUGCGUCCCUUCUGCGGGGUACGUGGCGGAGGCUGUGGGACAGCCACGCCAGUCGGGGGGCGAAGGUACUUGUGUACCGGCUGCAACAUGCUUACCUGCCUUGCGGGCUGUACAGGGCGGGCAAGGGAAUUCGUCCACGGGUGACCACGGGGUGCGGGGGGUUGGGGGCGCACUGUCCUCACCCCGCCUGCGGGCCACCUGGCCCGCGGGCGUGGGCCAGCCUGACGCACAUCUUCCUGGAGUGUCCAGCGUAUGCGCAGGCGAGGACGUGGCUGCAGCAGCUGUGGGCCUGUGUUGCGCCCCAGGCAGCGGCGCCGCCAGUGACGGACGCGGGCUUCAUGCUGGGGGACCGCAUGGGUAUGUGGGCCUCAGGCCCGCGGGGGGCGGGAGCGCUGCUGUGGAGCACUUUGCGGGCCACCUUCUUGUACGCCGUCUGGUGUGCGUACUGGUCCCGCGAGCCUGCUAAGCAGACGUCGGAGCAUGUGGUUCGGGAGGUGGUCAGCGAGCUGCGCAGGGUGAUGCGGCUGCGUUUCACUGCCGCCACGCUAACCCCUGAAACCCUGUCGGCUCUGCCCACUCAGCUUCUCACCGCACAGCUCAAGGCGGCUAAGCUGGAGCAUUUUGUUGCCAUCUGGACGGCGGGUGGCGCGCUUUGUGAAGUGGAGGAGGUUCAGGGUGGGUCACCGAAGUUGAACUUGCGGCUGACGCUUGCAUCACCUGUGCAGGCCCCCUAGAUUUCCUUCUGGGCAGCAUUUCUUUCCAGGCGCUGGCGUGGCGUAUUAUCGUCAUCAGCUUGUCUGGCGCCCAUGAGUACUAGCUCUGGCUGGAGUGGAAGCGCCUGGGCGGCUGUGGGACUUCCUGCGCAGCGCGUCUUGCAGCGGACUGGAGCCCACUUAGUCAGCGCCACAUCUGGCCCGUUUAGUUUUCUGCUUGUGUCUCCUCUGCCGGUUCUCCUGGGGUGUUGCUUAAGCAACCGACUUGUGGGGGUGGGGUGGGUUUGGGCGGGGCGAGUGCGUAACGCUGGUGUUUUCUUUUCUGGCGCGCGGUGGUGGUGGUUCUUGUGGUUAGGCUGUGGUGUAGGGUGGUGCUUGGGUUAGGUCUGGCGGUGUUUUUGUGCAACCCCUCCCGGGGGGCGGGGGG
rnacentral:lncRNA from 1 species